ncrna:unclassified sequences RAGATH-18 RNA
CCUAUGAAGAGUACAAAAAAAUGUGAGUAGUGGUUGAAUUUAUUUGACACAAAAACAUACUCAACGAAGUAGGAA